rnacentral:rRNA from 1 species
AUACGGAGGAUCCGAGCGUUAUCCGGAUUUAUUGGGUUUAAAGGGAGCGUAGGUGGAUUGUUAAGUCAGUUGUGAAAGUUUGCGGCUCAACCGUAAAAUUGCAGUUGAAACUGGCAGUCUUGAGUACAGUAGAGGUGGGCGGAAUUCGUGGUGUAGCGGUGAAAUGCUUAGAUAUCACGAAGAACUCCGAUUGCGAAGGCAGCUCACUAGACUGUUACUGACACUGAUGCUCGAAAGUGUGGGUAUCAAACAGGAUUAGAUACCCUGGUAGUCCACACAGUAAACGAUGAAUACUCGCUGUUUGCGAUAUACGGUAAGCGGCCAAGCGAAAGCAUUAAGUAUUCCACCUGGGGAGUACGCCGGCAACGGUGAAACUUAAAGGAAUUGACGGGG